rnacentral:lncRNA from 1 species
AUGGCACGCACCAAGCAGACGGCACGGAAGUCGACGGGAGGCAAGGCUCCGCGCAAGCAGCUAGCCACGAAGGUGGCCCGCAAGAGCGCCCCGGCCACCGGGGGCGUGAAGAAGCCGCACCGCUACCACCCUGGCACGGUGGCGCUGCGCGAGAUCCGGCGCUACCAGAAGUCCACCGAGCUGCUGAUUCGCAAGUUGCCAUUCCAGCGCUUGGUGCGUGAGAUCGCCCAGGACUUCAAGACCGACCUGCGCUUCCAGAGCUCCGCGGUGAUGGCGCUGCAGGAGGCCUGCGAGUCGUACCUCGUGGGGCUGUUCGAAGACACGAACCUGUGCGCUAUCCACGCCAAGCGGGUGACCAUCAUGCCCAAAGACAUCCAGUUGGCUCGGCGCAUCCGCGGAGAACGGGCUUAG